rnacentral:rRNA from 1 species
CCUACGGGGGGCAGCAGUGAGGAAUAUUGGUCAAUGGACGAGAGUCUGAACCAGCCACGUAGCGUGAAGGAUGACUGCCCUAUGGGUUGUAAACUUCUUUUAUAUGGGAAUAAAAUGUUCCAUGUGUGGGAUUUUGUAUGUACCAUAUGAAUAAGGAUCGGCUAACUCCGUGCCAGCAGCCGCGGUAAUACGGAGGAUCCGAGCGUUAUCCGGAUUUAUUGGGUUUAAAGGGAGCGUAGGUGGGUUGUUAAGUCAGUUGUGAAAGUUUGCGGCUCAACCGUAAAAUUGCAGUUGAAACUGGCAGUCUUGAGUACAGUAGAGGUGGGCGGAAUUCGUGGUGUAGCGGUGAAAUGCUUAGAUAUCACGAAGAACUCCGAUUGCGAAGGCAGUUCACUGGACUGCAACUGACACUGAGGCUCGAAAGUGUGGGUAUCAAACAGGAUUAGAUACCCUUGUAGUC